CUCCCUGUAGCUCAGUUGGUAGAGCAUGGUGUUUGCAACGCCGGAGUUGUGGGUUCGAUUCCCACGGGGGGC
rfam:Salmo salar isolate Sally breed double haploid chromosome ssa03, whole genome shotgun sequence.